ACUUGGAUUUUCUUAUUCAUUUU
rnacentral:snRNA from 1 species